UGCGAGCGUUGUCCGGAAUUAUUGGGCGUAAAGAGCUUGUAGGUGGUUUGUCGCGUCUGCUGUGAAAAUCCGGGGCUCAACCCCGGACUUGCAGUGGGUACGGGCAGACUAGAGUGUGGUAGGGGAGACUGGAAUUCCUGGUGUAGCGGUGGAAUGCGCAGAUAUCAGGAGGAACACCGAUGGCGAAGGCAGGUCUCUGGGCCAUUACUGACACUGAGAAGCGAAAGCGUGGGGAGCGAACAGG
rnacentral:rRNA from 1 species